GCCCAGGUGGCGGAACUGGUAUACGCGUGCGUUCGAGGGGCGCAUGCCGCAAGGCUUGCGGGUUCAAAUCCCGCCCUGGGCACAA
rnacentral:tRNA from 1 species